UUGAAGAGUUUGAUCAUGGCUCAGAUUGAACGCUGGCGGCAGGCCUAACACAUGCAAGUCGAGCGGUAGCGGGGAAGAUUUUGGUCUUUUGCCGACGAGCGGCGGACGGGUGAGUAAAGUCUGGGGAUCUAUCUUGUGGAGGGGGACAACCACUGGAAACGGUGGCUAAUACCGCAUAAACUCUGAGGAGCAAAGGGUGGGACCGAUGAGGCCACUCACCACGAGGUGAACCCAGAUGGGAUUAGCUAGUAGGUAGGGUAAAGGCCUACCUAGGCGAUGAUCUCUAGCUGGUCUGAGAGGAUGAUCAGCCACACUGGGACUGAGAUACGGCCCAGACUCCUACGGGAGGCAGCAGUGGGGAAUAUUGCACAAUGGGCGCAAGCCUGAUGCAGCCAUGCCGCGUGUGUGAAGAAGGCUUUCGGGUUGUAAAGCACUUUCAGCGGGGAAGAAGUUGUUGUGUUUAAUAGACAUAAUAAUUGACGUUACCUGCAGAAGAAGCACCGGCUAACUCCGUGCCAGCAGCCGCGGUAAUACGGAGGGUGCGAGCGUUAAUCGGAAUUACUGGGCGUAAAGGGCCUGUAGGUGGAUUAUUAAGUUAGCUGUGAAAACUCUGGGCUUAACCUAGGGCGUGCAGCUAAGACUGAUAGUCUAGAGUAAUGUAGAGGGGGGUAGAAUUCCAGGUGUAGCGGUGGAAUGCGUAGAUAUCUGGAGGAAUACCGGUGGCGAAGGCGGCCCCCUGGACAUUAACUGACGCUGAGGGGCGAAAGCGUGGGGAGCAAACAGGAUUAGAUACCCUGGUAGUCCAUGCUGUAAACGAUGUCGACUUGGAGAUUGCGGCUUAAAGCUGUGGUUUCCGGAGCUAACGUGUUAAGUCGACCGCCUGGGGAGUACGGCCGCAAGGUUAAAACUCAAAUGAAUUGACGGGGGCCCGCACAAGCGGUGGAGCAUGCGGUUUAAUUCGAUGCAACGCGAAGAACCUUACCUACUCUUGACAUCCAGAGAAGAUUGUAGAGAUACGAUUGUGCCUUCGGGAGCUCUGAGACAGGUGCUGCAUGGCUGUCGUCAGCUCGUGUUGUGAAAUGUUGGGUUAAGUCCCGCAACGAGCGCAACCCUUAUCCUUUGUUGCCAGCACGUUAGGGUGGGAACUCAAAGGAGACUGCCGGUGAUAAACCGGAGGAAGGUGGGGACGACGUCAAGUCAUCAUGGCCCUUACGAGUAGGGCUACACGCGUGCUACAAUGGCUAAUACAAAGGGCAGCGAGCCAGCGAUGGUAAGCGAAUCUCAUAAAGUUAGUCAUAGUCCGGAUUGGAGUCUGCAACUCGACUCCAUGAAGUCGGAAUCGCUAGUAAUCGCGAAUCAGCACGUCGCGGUGAAUACGUUCCCGGGCCUUGUACACACCGCCCGUCACACCAUGGGAGUGGGCUGCACCAGAAGUGGGUUGCUUAACCUGAAAGGGGGGGCGCUUACCACGGUGUGGUUCAUGACUGGGGUGAAGUCGUAACAAGGUAACCGUAGGGGAACCUGUGGUUGGAUCACCUCCUU
rnacentral:rRNA from 1 species